ACACACAGUCGCUCACCCGCGCCGGGCGCCCGCCCGCCGGCCGCUCGGGCUACGCGCAGCGCGCGGGCUGAGCCGACAUAGAGGAAGCCGGCGAGGGCGGAGGCGGCGGCGGCGGCGGAGGAGGAGGAGGUCGCGGCUGCAGGCGCCGCUGGAGCUGCCGCCGGAGCUGCUGCGGCGAGCGCCGCUGGAGGAGCCGGGACCCGGGCCGGAGUCCGAGCAGGAGUCGGGGCCGCAGCCGGAGCGCGAGCGGAGGCCGGGGCCGCCCGCGGCGCCGCCGCUGUCCCGGCGGGAGCCCUCGCCGGGCUCGGGAGUGCGGGGAGCGCGGUGAGCCGAGCAGGGCGCUGGGCGAGGCUGCCGCCGGCGAUCAGGGCGCGCGGGUGUCGGGGGGCCAGGUCCAGGGCCGGACGCAGCCAGCCAUUCAGGAAGGCAGCGCUGGAGAGCGGGAGGCAGCCGGCGAGGAAGAUCACACACUUUGCUCUUUUUGUUGUGCCGGUGGCGCCGGGCUCUCGCUGCCUUCUUCUUUCGGGAGGUGACGGAAGGGGGAGAAAAAUACGGGAUAAUUCACGCCGGCGACGAAAUCACAGCGAAAUAGAAAAAAUAAAAAUCAGAAGAAAAUAAUUGCCAAAAAAAGGAAAAAGGAAAAGCGAGAGAGACAUCCAAACAGGUAGAUGAAACUCAAGAGAAAAGGUGUGGAUAAAUGAAACUAGCCCAUGAUGAACCUGUUUUCUCCGUGACCACAAUAUUAACCAGGAUGAAUGGCGGUGGCAGUGGGCCUGCAUCACAGGUUGCAGCAGAUGUUCUCAAUAUUUCUAUUAAAAUUUCCUUAUUUCCAUAUGCAAGAGGAGCCCCAGAGCUGCAUCCUUAUGGUAGCUACCAUGCCGUGAUGUAAGCUGCCAUUCACUGGGGAGCUUUGGCAAUAGAAUUGGCUAGAUCAGGAAGCCUAUGUCAACUAUGGAACAACAACUUGCAGCUCAUCUCUAUUGAUGCAUCAGGUAUUAUCUACUGCUGUCUGCAGAAUUCAGACAUGGAGGGCUCAAUGGUGUCCCCUGGUCUUUGGAACAUUCUGUAUUUUAAUGAUCAUGAUACACUGCCUCUAGGACUGGGACAGAUAGCCACUGAGUACCUGCUUCAAAUCACCCUGCACGUUUUCUCUUUGGAAAGAUAAGCACUGGAGAACCAUCUCGUUACCUUCAGCAGAAAUGGAAACAAAUCAAGACAUUAAGAAUGCCGCAGUGGACAGCAGUUAUGCAAGGUUCAGCAGAGGAAGUUUUCAAGAUGGUGUGCCUCACUAGCCAGAAAUCAGAAAAGAUCGAAGCUAGCCUUUUCAUCUCAGCUGCUCCUUAAAUCAGUGCAACCCCUCCAAAUUAAUGUGAAUUGAAACUUGCAUUGCUUUUCAACUUAAUUGAAUACUUACUAUAUGUGAACCACUGCACAAAAUAGGGGAAGAAGAUGUGGGAGACAAAGAUGUGGAGCCUGUCUUCAAUAAAUUUACAGUUAGUUUCAGGGUACAUUGUUUUUCUUCUGCUGUUAAUUAGGUGUAUCCCCAAGACAAUAAAUACAUGAAUGGAAAAGUAUAUUCUGUGUUUUAAGUCUCUUUAAUAAAAAACAAAACAAAAUCCAAAAAAACUCCUAACAUGGCAACUCAGGACAUUUUAAUCCUUUUUUUUGUUGUUGGGCUUCUGAUAGGAUCCAUUUUAUUGAUUCCAUAAAUAUUUAGUAGACUUUAGACAUAUUAAUACAUUGUAGUUUGAGUUAAUUUGCAUUAAAUUCUGUUUUUUUCCCCUUAGGUAUAGAUUGUCUGUUGGAAAAAUAUAUUGCUUGUGGAUUUCUUGGGGAGUGGGAAGGUGAAUUAUACCUGUUGUCUCUACAGUCCACUACCUUCCACACCCUAGGGCAGUGGUCCCCAACCUUCUUGGCACCAGGGAUCAGUUUCCUGGAAGACAAUUUUUCUGUGGAUGGUGUGGGGAUGGUUUUGGGAUGGAACUGUUCCACCUCAGAUCAUCAGGCAUUAGUUAGGCUCUCAUAACGAGUGCGCAGCCUAGAUCCCUCACAUGCACAGUUCACAGUAGGGUUUGCGCUGCUAUGAGAAUCUAAGGCUGCCACUGAUCUGACAGGAGGCAGAACUCAGGUGGCAAUGCUUACUGGCCCACUGCUCACCUCUUGCUGUGCGGCCUGGUUCCUAAUAGGCCAUGGACCCCCACAGACGGGUACUAGUCUGCAGCCUGUGGACCCCAGCCCUAGGGGCCUGCCAUUCUGAGUGAGUUAUUAGCAUGAAGAAGAGGAAGAUCUGGAUCAAACGUGGGUGAUGGUACUCAGAGACCCAAGAUAGGAUAGGGAUGGAACAAAAUCCAUCUGGGCAACGGCUCUAUGAAAAUUUGGCUAAGUAAUUAUUUCAGUAUUCAUUGUAUUCAUUGUCCUUCGUGUUCCAUAAGUUAAAUGACUGUCUAAUUUUUCCAAAAAUUUAUUUCUGACUUGAGAAUAAGUGUGUCAUGAUUUUCCCAGUGUAAAGACACUGAUAUAACUGUAGAUACCAGACAUUUUAUGUAGUGUCUAUGACACAUUUUAGUAUGUAUGAGCCAACAAUAGACAUGUCUUUGUCUUGAGGAGUGUCCAUCUGAAUUGAAAAUGUGUCAGCUUUUUUUUAACAUCAUCAACAGACUUCUUAAUUAAGCUGCCAAUACAUACUGCCAAUAGCACUGUGUGCUGUCUGAGAAAUGCAUUGUGUAAGUGCUAUUUCCAUCUUAUUAAAUAAACAAUGUUGCUCUGUAUAAACUGGAUUUAAAGUGUUCUUUGAAUGAGGCAUUAUAUUGCUCCAUAAAUAAUGUGAUGUGAAUUCUCAUAUGAUCCCUUUUAACUUAAUUUCUAAAAAAAUAUUAUUUGCUCCUCAGUAAGGAAUAGCUCUAAUUGGACUGGUAACUUUAGUGAUAUGAUUUGUCUGUAACAGGCUGAAUCGCCCCACUCCCAAACUCCUGGUCGUGAUACUGGAUAUUUGUUAUGCCACUUUUAGUUUGCAUGAGGUAUCUUCCAGGAAGUAUUAGUUAUUAACUUGUGUUCUACUAAACUGUAGAUAUUUAUUUCCUGUUCUGGAAGAUUUCUUGGAGUGUCCAUCUGUGCAUUCCUGGUGCCUAGUGUAGUCUUGCUAAUGGAAUAGCACCUUUAUUGGUGCUACUUAGGGGUUGGUAGCUUACAAUCAAUCUACUUGGAACGUAUCCAAAUAAACUGGAUAUUUUUAUACAGUC
rnacentral:lncRNA from 1 species